UUCAAUUGAAGGAUAGGGUUAGUAAAUCAUAGAACUUAUGAUUUAUCUUCACCUUCUUCCGCGAUGUAACGUUUUGCCGUUACGCCAAUCAAUGAAGAAAACCCAGCAAUCCCACGAUCUCCUCUUCAUUACAGUUCCGUUUGUUCUUCCAUAGCUCUGUUCACAGUGUAUAUAUACUUUCGCCUUUGCCUUCUCCUUUCCUCUACUCUUCAUCGAUUAUGCCUCACUAAAACUCGCAGACAAGCUCUCCAUAACGACAAUUUCCAAGCUCUACUUCUCCACCUUGAAGGCAUGCUAAUGUAAGGAGGCUGUUCAGAUGAGACCCCUCCGUUCUUGGAAGGCUCGGAAUGUGAAGAGGGGUCAGUUGAUGGCUAUAUAUGCUUCCCAUUCCUUCUCGCCCACAACGCGCGCCUAGAGUAAUGAUAUUCAAUCAAGAUAGCUGGAGGAGAAACAUCUCAGGCCUCUGUUUCAAGUUGAGCCCCAUGUUGGUGCCAUGAACACUGGAGAGGAUGGACAAGUUUCCGAGGACAUGCCCUCCACAAAGAAAACGCGAAAAGACAAACAGAAUUAUCUACAUAUCCUUAUGCCGCUUCUCCUCUUUUCCAAAAUUAUCGAAAUCAAAGAAGCUCGGCAUUCUUCUACACUGCAAGGUAACAUCAUUUUACCUUUGAUUUCUCUCCACUAAUGAUUUUGAAGUCAUAAUUUCUUAUCAUGUACAAUGCUGUAUCUGCAGCCGCAAGAGCUGUGGUAACGAAGUAGAUUCCGUACAGUAAUCCUUCAUAGCUGCCAUAAGUUUAAGCGCAUGCUGUCAAAUGUGAUGAUAACUUAUGGUUCUAAACGUAUACUGUCAAAUGUGAAGUUGUUUAAACCUGAAGUCAUAACUUAUGGGCAAAUAUGGUUUUAAUCAGUUUCUUUGGUAAUUUUGUUAUUUUCUCAAAAGUUUCUUUGGGAAUCAAGCCUGUAUCCAUAUAUUAAUUUUGUUGCUUUCCACAGCAUAUAUAUACUAUGGGUGCACACUAAUUAUGUCAAAGACUAAAGCUAAAGAAAGGAAAUGGCGGAAAGAAAAAGCUGCAGCUGAACAAGGUUAAUGCUCUGCAAUGGUUUCUUAUGAAGCUUAGGUAAGGUGGAUAUAUCGGCAUUGGUUGGCAACAAAUUAUGUUGGUGGGGCUUCAUACUUCCUCCUUUGUAUCGACAAAGUUACGGGAAUUCAAACUGACAAAGGCUGGUGUUACAUUCACAUGCCCUGUGUGUGCUAACCCAAAUGUUGUCCCAAUACUUCAGAUUUUGACUUCUGAUUAUCCUUAAUUCAUUUGUUCAAAUCUCAUAAGAAGUUAAAGCGGUAUGCCCACUUAGGUUUAACAAAUAUGUUCUCAAGGUCUGAUUUAUGAUAAAAAAAAUUGAACCAGUUAUCCAAAAGGUCAUAUAGAUCGAACUGGCAAAAACGUUGUGGUUAUAUACAUUUAGCUUACUGAAAACUCAAUCAAUACGACAUGCAUGAAGGCAAAGAUUGUACAAGGAAUGAAGUGGUGCUGAAUUUGUAUAUUGUAAAGGUCUUGCAUAAAUUGUCACAUUUGCUUCUCAAUGGUCCCUAUCAAUGUGAAUGGUUACAUAUGGUCA